CUCUCAUCCUAAUGCAGUAGAGGCCAUGGAUCAAUUUCGGAUACUCGUAAGAAAUUGUUAAGAAAAAAUGGUUGUUUAGAAUGCUCACCCCAGAUCCGAAGGAGACCAUGUUUUGUUUCUAUGUUUCAACAAAUUACAGGUCCUAUUUUGAGCGAAGCAGAUUAAGAAGAUAACAUAGAAUUUUAUCAAGACUUUUUAUGAUAUAAUUUAUCCUCAAAUCAUUAAAGGUGAGAUUGAGGAAAAUAUAAAGAAUGAUGAAAAUACACUAGAACAACCAUUUAAUGAUUUACAUUUUCCUAAAAUCUGUGAAGAUGAAGGAUUUAUUUAUGUUCCUGGAUAUGUGGCCGAAUCGUUGCAUCAAAAAUUUCCCACUCUAGGGUGUAAUACUUCAGCAUCUAAGUUCCUCCAAGUCCAUGGCUUAAAACAUUGUCUAGAGUGGGGGACUACUUCAACCAUCGGAAACCUUAAUGUAAUUUUGCAAAAAAAUAAAUAGAGAAGCAUUUCAUUAAUUUUAUGGGAAUGUUUUUGAUACCGAACCAUAUAUAAUGGAUCGACUCAUCAGCAUAAUUGUGGAAAAGUAUCCUAAGGAAGAAUAUGAAGUUAUAAAAAAAUUAUUUGCACUCGUACAUUCAUUAGACUAAAGUAUAUUAAUAGUAACGUGCGAAAAACUACUCAUUUCAUUAGUUAAAAAAUAGAGACGGAAAUUAUAUUUAUA
rnacentral:lncRNA from 1 species